AUUGAACGCUGGCGGCAUGCCUUACACAUGCAAGUCGAACGGUAACAGGUCUUCGGAUGCUGACGAGUGGCGAACGGGUGAGUAAUACAUCGGAACGUGCCUAGUAGUGGGGGAUAACUACUCGAAAGAGUGGCUAAUACCGCAUGAGAUCUACGGAUGAAAGCAGGGGAUCGCAAGACCUUGUGCUACUAGAGCGGCCGAUGGCAGAUUAGGUAGUUGGUGGGAUAAAAGCUUACCAAGCCGACGAUCUGUAGCUGGUCUGAGAGGACGAUCAGCCACACUGGGACUGAGACACGGCCCAGGAGCCUGCGGGAGGCAGCAGUGGGGAAUUUUGGACAAUGGGCCCAAGCCUGAUCCAGCAAUGCCGCGUGAAGGAUGAAGGCCUUCGGGUUGUAAACUGCUUGUUUACGGAACGAAAAGCCCCGGGUUAAUACCCUGGGGUAAUGACGGUACCGUAAGAAUAAGCACCGGCUAACUACGUGCCAGCCGCCGCCGUAA
rnacentral:rRNA from 1 species